rnacentral:pre_miRNA from 1 species
AGCCACUUCGGUUGUGGUUAUACAAACAGAAGUUGAUAUAACCCAAUCACGAAAAUGGCUGA